GACGAACGCUGGCGGCGUGCUUAACACAUGCAAGUCGAACGAAAAGGCCCUGCGUUUGUGGGGUGCUCGAGUGGGGAAGGGGUGAGUAACACGUGAGGAACCUCUCCUUGACUGUGGGAUAACUUCAGGAAACUGGGGCUAAUACCGGAGAGGAGCUCCCGCUGCAUGGGGGUGGUUGGAAAGUUUCGGCGGUUGGAGAUGGACUCGCGGCUUAUGCGCUGGUUGGUGGGGUAGUGGCUGACCAGGGCUUUGACGGGUAGGCGGCCUGGGAGGUUGAACGGCGACAUUGGGACUGAGAUAGGGAGCAGACUCCUAUGGGAGGCAGCAGUCGGGAAUCUUGCACAAUGGGCGGACGUCAGAUACGGCAACGUCGCGUGCGUGAUGACGGCCUUCGGGUUGUAAACCGCUGUCGACUGUGCCGAAGCGUGCGUGACGGUAAUGGGUAAAGAAGCACCGGCUAACUACGUG
rnacentral:rRNA from 1 species